rnacentral:snRNA from 1 species
AUUACUUCUCGGCCUUUUGGCUAAGAUCAAGUGUAGUAUCUACUUUGCAGUAAUGCACUAAUUAUCACUGUGAAGGAACCAAAGCCCUUGCUGCCACAUCAUAAUUAUCAUUUUAUGCUUCCAUGCAAUAUCAGCACUUGUNAUGGGCAAACAAAACAUGGAACCCCACUUUUUCCCUGUUUUUUUUUCCUUCU